ensembl:lncRNA
GGGGUAGAACUGUACAGUAUAGUAGACACACUAGGGGUAGAACUGUACAGUAUAGUAGACACUGGGGUAGAACUGUAUAGUAUAGUAGACACACUAGGGGUAGAACUAUACAGUAUAGUAGAUGCACUAGGGGUAGAACUAUACAGUAUAGUAGACACACUAGGGGUAGAACUGUACAGUAUAGUGGACACACUAGGGGUAGAACUGUACAGUAUAGUAGAUACACUGGGGUAGAACUGUACUGUAUAGUAGAUACACUGGGGUAGAACUAUACAUUAUAGUAGACACACUAGGGGUACAACUGUACAGUAUAGUAGAUACACUGGGGUAGAACUGUACUGUAUAGUAGAUACACUAGGGGUAGAACUGUACAGUAUAGUAGACACACUAGGGGUAGAACUGUACAGUAUAGUAGACACUGGGGUAGAACUGUAUAGUAUAGUAGACACACUAGGGAUAGAACUAUACAGUAUAGUAGAUGCACUAGGGGUAGAACUAUACAGUAUAGUAGACACACUAGGGGUAGAACUGUACAGUAUAGUGGACACAUUAGGGGUAGAACUGUACAGUAUAGUAGGUACACUGCGGUAGAACUGUACAGUAUAGUAGAUACACUGGGGUAGAACUGUACAGUAUAGUAGACACACUAGGGGUACAACUGUACAGUAUAGUAGAUACACUAGGGGCAGAACUGUACAGUAUAGUAGACACAAUAGGAGUAGAACUGUACUGUAUAGUAGAUACACUAGGCGUAGAACUGUACAGUAUAGUAGACACACUGGGGUAGAACUGUACUGUAUAGUAGAUACACUGGGGUAGAACUAUACAUUAUAGUAGACACACUAGGGGUAGAACUGUACAGUAUAGUAGACACAAUAGGAGUAGAACUGUAUAGUAUAGUAGACACACUAGGGGUAGAACUGUACAGUAAUAGUAGACACACUGGGGUAGAACUGUACAGUAUAGUAAACACUAGGGGUAGAACUGUACAUAAUAGUAGAUACACUGGGUAGAACUGUACAGUACAGUAGACAGACUAAGGGUAGAACUAUACAGUAUAGUAGAUACACUGGGGUAGAACUGUACAAUAUA